UGAAAUUACAACUUGACAAGUUUGCUUGACAAGUGGACAAACUUCCAUCUGAAGACCCCUGAUUAGGAGGCACUCAUCACAUCUCGGGGUCUCCCAUUGCACUUUUGAACAGCUCUAAAGGUUCGGAAGCUUUGUCUGAUAACAAAUCUAAAUUCCUCUCUUUGCAAAUUUUAGGAUCAUGAGUUCACAGGACCAAACAUUUAAAGCUACAAAGGACCCGAGAGACUGUUUACUCCAACCUUCUUGUUUUGUAGAUGAGGAAACUGAGGGCAAGAAGUUGUCCAGACUGGAGUCAGGAGGACCAGCAUUCAAAUCUGACCUUAGACACUUCCAAUCUAUGUGACUCUGGGGAUAAGUGCUACAGGAGAUGGAAGAAGGCCUGGGGUCAGAGGGAAGAUUGUUCUUUGCAUCAUCAGAGUCUCUCUGCAACCUGGUUGGAAGAUUGAGCUGGAAGAAGAAGGUGGAAGUUGAAGCUGGACUAGGACACAGAUGAGAAUUCUGUGUCACAUGAUCAAUAAGAUGGAAGAUGAGACAACAGGGAAGAAUAGAAGAAUGUAUGCUGAGGAGCAAAGAAGCUCAAGAUGUAACUCCAGAUGACUGAUAUGGCAAACCUGAGUCUUAUUAAUGAAAAAAAGAUGAAUGUUCAAUAGAAAAGAGAAUUUCAAAGCAUUCCUCAAAAGAAAACCAAACCUGAAGAAAGUAUUUGCUUUCCAAAUACCUAGACAAUGAAUAUAAAAGGAAUGUAAAUAAAUAGAAUUAAGGACAAUAACA
rnacentral:lncRNA from 1 species